rnacentral:misc_RNA from 1 species
GAGAGGAGAGAAGAGAAAGGAAAAAAUAAAUAAUAUUAAGUAAAUCAAAUCAAUCAACGAGAAGAUGAAGAAGAGGAAAAAAAGAAGAGACAAAAAAAAGGAAAAGAAAAAGAAAAAGAAACACAAUAAAUCAGUAUUUAUUUCACAGGACAACAAAGAAAGAUUGUGACGUUUCGACUUUUGAAAGAUGAAAAUGUGGAAAAGGAAACGGAAUGAGAGAAGGAGAGAGAGAAGAGAAGAGAGGUGGAAAAAUGGAAAGAAAAUUCGAAAUGGAGGCACGUUGUUUCAAAAGGAACCUCGACAGUGCCCGGGGCGAGGUGUGAAGGCGGCGCCCUCCCCUUGUCUCACUCUACACCCUCACCACGAC